rnacentral:rRNA from 1 species
UACAGAGGUCCCAAGCGUUGUUCGGAUUCACUGGGCGUAAAGGGUGCGUAGGCGGUCGGGUAAGUCUGCUGUGAAAUCUCACAGCUUAACUGUGAAACUGCAUUGGAUACUAUCCAGCUCGAGGAAUGGAGGGGAGACUGGAAUACUUGGUGUAGCAGUGAAAUGCGUAGAUAUCAAGUGGAACACCAGUGGCGAAGGCGAGUCUCUGGACAGUUCCUGACGCUGAGGCACGAAAGCCAGGGGAGCAAACGGG